UCGAGAAUCUUCGGCAAUGGGCGCAAGCCUGACCGAGCGACGCCGCGUGUGUGAUGAAGGCCUUCGGUUGUAAAGCACUGUCGAGGGGGAGUCAAGGCGCAAGCUUGAGAGAUCCCUGGAGGAAGCACGGGCUAAGUUCGUGCCAGCAGCCGCGGUAAGACGAACCGUGCGAACGUUGUUCGGAAUCACUGGGCUUAAAGGGCGCGUAGGCGGAUGAUCAAGUCGGUGGUGAAAUCCUCCCGCUUAACGGGGAGAAUGGCCUUCGAUACUGAUCGUCUCGAGCAAGGUAGGGGUGCGUGGAACUUCCGGUGGAGCGGUGAAAUGCGUAGAGAUCGGAAGGAACGCCGGUGGCGAAAAGCGACGCACUGGACCUUUUCUGACGCUGAGGCGCGAAAGCCAGGGGAGCGAACGGGAUUAGAUACCCCGGUAGUCCUGGCCGUAAACGAUGAGCACUGGACCGGAGGACUGCACAGUUUCCCGGUCGUAGCGAAAGUGUAAGUG
rnacentral:rRNA from 1 species